rnacentral:rRNA from 1 species
GACGAACGCUGGCGGCGUGCUAAUACAUGCAAGUAGAACGCUGAAGAGAGGAGCUUGCUCUUCUUGGAUGAGUUGCGAACGGGUGAGUAACGCGUAGGUAACCUGCCUUGUAGCGGGGGAUAACUAUUGGAAACGAUAGCUAAUACCGCAUAACAAUGGAUGACACAUGUCAUUUAUUUGAAAGGGGCAAUUGCUCCACUACAAGAUGGACCUGCGUUGUAUUAGCUAGUAGGUGAGGUAACGGCUCACCUAGGCGACGAUACAUAGCCGACCUGAGAGGGUGAUCGGCCACACUGGGACUGAGACACGGCCCAGACUCCUACGGGAGGCAGCAGUAGGGAAUCUUCGGCAAUGGGGGCAACCCUGACCGAGCAACGCCGCGUGAGUGAAGAAGGUUUUCGGAUCGUAAAGCUCUGUUGUAAGUCAAGAACGAGUGUGAGAGUGGAAAGUUCACACUGUGACGGUAGCUUACCAGAAAGGGACGGCUAACUACGUGCCAGCAGCCGCGGUAAUACGUAGGUCCCGAGCGUUGUCCGGAUUUAUUGGGCGUAAAGCGAGCGCAGGCGGUUUGAUAAGUCUGAAGUUAAAGGCUGUGGCUCAACCAUAGUUCGCUUUGGAAACUGUCAUACUUGAGUGCCGGAGGGGUAAGCGGAAUUCCUAGUGUAGCGGUGAAAUGCGUAGAUAUUAGGAGGAACACCAGUGGCGAAGGCGGCUUACUGGACGGUAACUGACGUUGAGGCUGAAAGCGUGGGG